rnacentral:tRNA from 1 species
GGGGAUAUAGCUCAGUUAGUAGAGUGUUUGCCUUACAUGCACAAGGCCCUGGGUUCGAGCCCCAGCCCCCCCC